GAUGAAGAACGUAGCGAAAUGCGAUAAGUAAUGUGAAUUGCAGAAUUCAGUGAAUCAUCGAAUCUUUGAACGCAUCUUGCGCUCCUUGGUAUUCCUUGGAGCAUGCCUGUUUGAGUAUCAUGAGCAAAUCUCAAAGUCAAUUCCUUUUGUUAAUUCAAUUGGUUUUGCUUUGGACUUGGAGGUCUUGCAGAUUUUCACAGUCUGCUCCUCUUAAAUGCAUUAGCUGGAUCUUAGUAAUUAUGCUUGGUUCCACUCGGCGUGAUAAGUAUCACUCGCUGAGGACACUGUUAAAAAGGUGGCCAGGAAAAUACUGAUUGAACCGCUUCUAACGGUCUAUUAAGUUAGACAAUUACCCUUAAGUUUGAUCUCAAAUCAGGUAGGACUACCCGCUGAACUUAAGCAUAUCAAUAAGCGGAGGA
rnacentral:misc_RNA from 1 species